rnacentral:rRNA from 1 species
AACGAACGCUGGCGGCAUGCCUAACACAUGCAAGUCGAACGAGACCUUCGGGUCUAGUGGCGCACGGGUGCGUAACGCGUGGGAACCUGCCCUUAGGUUCGGAAUAACUCCCCGAAAGGGGUGCUAAUACCGCAGAAUGUCUUCGGACCAAAGAUUUUUGGCCUUUGGAUGGGCCCGCGUUGGAUUAGCUAGUUGGUAGGGUAAAAGCCUACCAAGGCGACGAUCCAUAGCUGGUCUGAUAGGAUGAUCAGCCACACUGGGAAUGAGACACGGCCCAGACUCCUACGGGAGGGAGCAGUGGGGAAUAUUGGAGAAGGGGCGAAAGCCUGACCCAGCAAUGCCGGGUGAGUGAUGAAUGGCUUAGGGUUGUAAAGCUCUUUUACCCGGGAUGAUAAUGACAGUACCGGGAGAAUAAGCUCCGGCUAACUCCGUG